UGGCUCAAGAACGAACGCUUGGGCGGCAGGCCUAACACAUGCAAGUCGAGCCGAACCCUUCGGGGUUAGCGGCGGACGGGUUAGUAACGCGUGGGAAUAUACCCUUUGGUACGGAAUAGCCUCGGGAAACUGAGAGUAAUACCGUAUGUGCCCUUCGGGGGAAAGAUUUAUCGCCAAAGGAUUAGCCCGCGUUGGAUUAGAUAGUUGGUGGGGUAAUGGCCUACCAAGUCUACGAUCCAUAGCUGGUUUGAGAGGAUGAUCAGCAACACUGGGACUGAGACACGGCCCAGACUCCUACGGGAGGCAGCAGUGGGGAAUCUUAGACAAUGGGCGCAAGCCUGAUCUAGCCAUGCCGCGUGGACGAUGAAGGCCUUAGGGUUGUAAAGUCCUUUCAGAUGGGAAGAUAAUGACGGUACCAUCAGAAGAAGCCCGGCUAACUCCGUG
rnacentral:rRNA from 1 species